UGGGGAAUCUUGGACAAUGGGCGCAAGCCUGAUCCAGCCAUGCCGCGUGGAUGAUGAAGGCCUUAGGGUUGUAAAAUCCUUUCGUGGGGGACGAUAAUGACGGUACCCCAAGAAGAAGCUCCGGCUAACUUCGUGCCAGCAGCCGCGGUAAUACGAAGGGGGCUAGCGUUGUUCGGAUUUACUGGGCGUAAAGCGCGUGUAGGCGGGUCGUUAAGUUGGGGGUGAAAUCCCGAGGCUCAACCUCGGAACUGCCUUCAAAACUGGCGACCUGGACUCAAGCAGAGGCAAGUGGAAUUGCGAGUGUAGAGGUGAAAUUCGUAGAUAUUCGCAGGAACACCAGUGGCGAAGGCGACUUGCUGGGCUUGUAGUGACGCUGAGACGCGAAAGCGUGGGGAGCAAACAGGAUUAGAUACCCGCGUAGUCCCUGAG
rnacentral:rRNA from 1 species